UAGUCCACGCCGUAAACGAUGAGAACUAGAUGUUGGGGGAAUUUGUCCUUUGGUGUCGCAGCUAACGCGUUAAGUUCUCCGCCUGGGGAGUACGCCGGCAACGGUAAAACUCAAAGGAAUUGACGGGGACCCGCACAAGCGGUGGAGCAUGUGGUUUAAUUCGAUGCAACGCGAAGAACCUUACCUGCCCUUGACAUUGACAGAACCUUCUGGAGACAGAGGGGUNCUUCGGCCUGGAAAACNGGUGCUGCAUGGCUGUCGUCAGCUCGUGUCGUGAGAUGUUGGGUUAAGUCCCGCAACGAGCGCAACCCUUGUCCUUAGUUGCCAGCACGUAAUGGUGGGAACUCUAGGGAGACUGCCGGUGACAAACCGGAGGAAGGAGGGGACGACGUCAAGUCGAUCAUGGCCCUUACGCCCAGGGCUACACACGUGCUACAAUGGCGCAUACAGAGGGUAGCGACACGGUAACGUGAAGCCAAUCUCAAAAAGUGACGUCUCAGUUCGGAUUGAGGUCUGCUAA
rnacentral:rRNA from 1 species